UACGUAGGGAGCAAGCGUUGUCCGGAAUCAUUGGGCGUAAAGCGCACGUAGGCGGAUUGUUAAGUCAGGGGUGAAAUCCUGGAGCUCAACUCCAGAACUGCCUUUGAUACUGGCGAUCUCGAGUCCGGGAGAGGUGAGUGGAACUGCGAGUGUAGAGGUGAAAUUCGUAGAUAUUCGCAAGAACACCAGUGGCGAAGGCGGCUCACUGGCCCGGUACUGACGCUGAGGUGCGAAAGCGUG
rnacentral:rRNA from 1 species